GGUUAAGCGACUAAGCGUACACGGUGGAUGCCCUGGCAGUCAGAGGCGAUGAAGGACGUGCUAAUCUGCGAUAAGCGCCGGUAAGGUGAUAUGAACCGUUAUAACCGGCGAUUUCCGAAUGGGGAAACCCAGUGUGACUCGUCACACUAUCAUUAACUGAAUCCAUAGGUUAAUGAGGCGAACCGGGGGAACUGAAACAUCUAAGUACCCCGAGGAAAAGAAAUCAACCGAGAUUCCCCCAGUAGCGGCGAGCGAACGGGGAGGAGCCCAGAGCCUGAAUCAGCAUGUGUGUUAGUGGAAGCGUCUGGAAAGGCGCGCGAUACAGGGUGACAGCCCCGUACACAAAAGCGCAUGUGCUGUGAGCUCGAUGAGUAGGGCGGGACACGUGGUAUCCUGUCUGAAUAUGGGGGGACCAUCCUCCAAGGCUAAAUACUCCUGACUGACCGAUAGUGAACCAGUACCGUGAGGGAAAGGCGAAAAGAACCCCGGCGAGGGGAGUGAAAAAGAACCUGAAACCGUGUACGUACAAGCAGUGGGAGCACAGGUUUACCUGUGUGACUGCGUACCUUUUGUAUAAUGGGUCAGCGACUUAUAUUCUGUAGCAAGGUUAACCGUAUAGGGGAGCCGGAGGGAAACCGAGUCUUAACCGGGCGUUAAGUUGCAGGGUAUAGACCCGAAACCCGGUGAUCUAGCCAUGGGCAGGUUGAAGGUUGGGUAACACUAACUGGAGGACCGAACCGACUAAUGUUGAAAAAUUAGCGGAUGACCUGUGGCUGGGGGUGAAAGGCCAAUCAAACCGGGAGAUAGCUGGUUCUCCCCGAAAGCUAUUUAGGUAGCGCCUCGUGAAUUCAUCUCCGGGGGUAGAGCACUGUUUCGGCUAGGGGGCCAUCCCGGCUUACCAACCCGAUGCAAACUGCGAAUACCGGAGAAUGUUAUCACGGGAGACACACGGCGGGUGCUAACGUCCGUCGUGAAGAGGGAAACAACCCAGACCGCCAGCUAAGGUCCCAAAGUCAUGGUUAAGUGGGAAACGAUGUGGGAAGGCCCAGACAGCCAGGAUGUUGGCUUAGAAGCAGCCAUCAUUUAAAGAAAGCGUAAUAGCUCACUGGUCGAGUCGGCCUGCGCGGAAGAUGUAACGGGGCUAAACCAUGCACCGAAGCUGCGGCAGCGACGCUGAUGCGUUGUUGGGUAGGGGAGCGUUCUGUAAGCCUGCGAAGGUGGCCUGUGAGGGUUGCUGGAGGUAUCAGAAGUGCGAAUGCUGACAUAAGUAACGAUAAAGCGGGUGAAAAGCCCGCUCGCCGGAAGACCAAGGGUUCCUGUCCAACGUUAAUCGGGGCAGGGUGAG
rnacentral:rRNA from 1 species